UUUUUCCCUGACACUGUCUACAGCAUUCUCUUGAGUAACAGAGCUUUGUGAGUUUGGGUUUUUGCUUUUCUUUUUUAAGCCAAGCGGUCCAAAAUGCUAGAUGUUUUACAGAAAACUAAUUUUUCCCCAAACAGAAAACGCGUUAAAUCUACUGAAUUAAAGGUCUCAUUGCAGAGUUAAAAAGUAGAGAAAGUAAAACCUGGUUUCAUGCUAACUUUCUGGCUCCCUCUGAAUUGAAAAGUAGUAUUUUUCUAAGAAAAAAAAAAGCAAAAUCCUUAUUUCCAGCUACUCAGGAGCUGAGCACUGCACUCCCAGCAAAGCCAGUCAGUCAGCGGUUUCACUCAAAGAUCUUCCAGCAACAAAAGGGGAAUGGGGGUGGGGGACAGGAGAACACGACAGUGGAGUUCCUCAUCAGCCUCCUGCCUACCUCACAAGCCUCAAGCACUGCAGUAGAUUCCAGCUGCUCCAGCUCGCUGCCUGACCCACGUGUUUCUCUCCCAUCACACACCAACUUGAUGACAGAGCUCACCCAACAGAACAUAUGCACAGUAUGACGCGGGACAGAAAUCCCACCCUGAUGUCAACAAGGCUAGAUGUACAGCCCGAAGACAGUGCUAACAUGAGCAGUAACCCAACCAUUUGAAAGAUAUCCUCAUAAUGCUGGGAGGGAAGAAACGGCAGGAGCCAGAACACUGGCCAUUCUGAAGGAACAAUGACCUCAGCAACUGUCAGCAGUGCCUUCUCACUAUUGUUCACUCUUCCCGAGAUAAAGAGGCAUUUACAGAUAGUGGACAAUGCAACAAGUAAGAAAACCUUGAAUGGUUACCACCUUUAGAACUAUUCCAACUAUCAGCCUGUGCACAGCUGUGAGCACUGAGCUCAGUGCCUCCUGCCCCUGAGCAGCACAGUACUGGCAGAAAGGUGAGCCCUUCAUUUACCCGUGUCCUAUCUAGGUUCUAGUUCAACUACCAGUUACACCAGCAUAACCAAAGACUUCAGGUUACACUUGCUUUGUUGGUUGUCUACACAAUACUUAAAAAAAAUACAGAGAGAGGAAUUUAAGAGGAAGCAGCUUGAAAAAUCAUCAUCGUCAUCCUCAAGAUACUGCCCUUUCCCACUGAUCUGGGAAUAUUUUCAGACAAAUAUUAUAAUUGAGGAGGAUCAUCCGAACUGAUGUGUGUGAUCAUCCCCAUUAUUUCCAAAUGUGCUACAAGAAAGGAUAAGCAGUAGAUGCAUUUCAGCACGUUUUAUUCUCCCCGGACUUAACUGUAGUCUCAGGAGGCCAACAUUAGGGAUUGUUUCUCAUCUGAACUUUUACAUACUUUUCAUUUUAAGUGCCUGGAAUAGGCUCUGAAGUGGCUCCAUUUUGCUCUGGAGUCUUACUAUCUGGAAUUUUGUAGAACUUCGUCCUUCAAACUAUUCUUCAUUUGCUUUAACAUUUCAAUUUGUUACGAUUUUUUUCUUCUCCCCAUUCAUUGCCUCCAGCUCUAUUACAGAAAGCAGUAAAAGCAGAUGAGCUAGCAUUGCAGAUACAAGAAACAAUACAGCUGCAACUUCAGCAACACACCUAAGUUCCUAUUAUGGUUCUUUCAGAGCUUGGGUCUGAUUGUAUCAUCUUGAUUUUUAAUAGCAAUCUUUAAAUACAACUAUUCAGUUAGUCUUGAUGAGACAAUUCCAUGAGUAAGACUUAGUCACAGAACACCAGGUUUCACAGUAAUCACUUGGAGAGUCCAGACACCUCAGCUUUUGUGCUAACAUUUUCACUUGCUGGGGAAGGGGCAGAGGCAAGAAAGGGGAGAAAAGCCUCCCUCUGCUUGCCUUCAGCAUGUUCUUUCCUGCCUCUUCUUCCUUAAGUAUCUCCUACUAUUCUUCUCGCUAACUAUAUUAUUUUUAUAGUUCCCUCCCUAAGAUUUUUUCUUUUGGCUCAUCCAAGAGAAACCUUGCAAAAAAUCCAGAGAAGGUAAAUAAACACAAUUAAGACAGAACCAAGAACAUCUCUGGCACAUUGCACACUUCUCUGUGGUUCAUCUCAGAAACCAGAUGCCUGUCAUUCAGAAGAUACAGACAUUCCAACAAUAUGAAGUAUUUCAGAGAUCUAGCUUUCCAUCUUCUCCCUUCUUGGCUCUUAAGAAACAAUAUGCUACUACAGUACCUAGUAACAUGUUUGUUUUGUAUCAUUUUCUGAAUUCUCCACAUUUGCAAAGACCAACUCCAUCAGAUACAGCCAUUCUUGGUACCGCUUUAAGGCACAAUACAGUGAGGCCAACAAUUUCUGUUUCAGAGAAGUCUAAGAAAUAUGAAACGGCAAAGGCAACCCUCAGCCAAGACACUGUAUCGGAAGAACCUGGUAGCAGACAGAACUUAGAAAUGAUACAGCUCUUUGGCUGUUAACUUCCCAAGGCAAUGCUGCGUAGAUCAUCUUUUCAGAUGACCAAAGAUCUGCUGCUGACCAUAGCGUAAGCAAAGUUCUGAUAAACAGAGAAUUCUGAUAUGAAGUCAAGAAGUUUCUUAACUGCCCCCAAGAAGAUCAUAUUUCCUGGUCCAGUUAAGCAAUACUUAUUUCUCAGUCUCACCUUGUAAGAAACAGAAUUGGAGGGUCAGCAGGUGCAAGAUGUGUAUGACAACAGCAUUUCCAGUUAUUUACUGACAAGGUACUUUUACAGAUAGAUCCCCUAACUGAACCUCAGCUGUUUCCUUAGCAGCUUUAGGGCACAUCUACAGUCUAACUACCAGCAACACAACUACAACAGUACAACUAGUAAACAUAGGCUGCCAUUCUACAGACUGCAUCUACGGCAUCGCAUCAAAUAAAACAGCUUCAGAUAAAACAUAUUCUUGGUUCAAGUCAUUACUACGCUGUUUGUAAACAGCAGACCUUUCUCAUUUCCUUUAGCUAAAUACUCCCUGUUUGGGGAGCAUUAGUCCACUCCACAUCAUUCACAGGAGUCAAACAAAACAAACAAAAUAAAGUCCACUUUGCUCUCUCAUGAGAUAACCCUCCAGGAAUUUCCUUUCCUACAUAGCUGUGUUAUUAACAGAGGGGUUUAUGCUGUAUAUGAUGGCCAAUCACUUUCCACAACUCAAUUUCAAUUCUGAAGGAAACACAAGUUCUUUUUUCAGAAAGCCAUGCCCCCAAGCUUGGCUUCAAGAUCUUAAUACCCACUAGAAAUACAAUUUCAAGGAAUCCAGAUUUACAGGCUUCACUGGGAAAACUCCGUUAUGCGGGGUUAUUCAUGUACAGAACAAUGCUGUUCCAAAUAACACAAGGAACAAUGCUGGGUCAAGCGACAUCCAGUUCUUAAAGAAGCAUCCUGUGCGGACAGAGUUAACACGAUCUGGCCUUCUCCCAGAUAUAACUGUGGGGAAGCCAGCCAUCAGAAAUGAACACGAAUUACAGAUUUAUUACAAGCCUUGGGAAUUGUUCAGAUAAACAAUACUUGGCAUACUUAGCCCCAGGUACUGUCCUGAUCCCAUAUUAAUUACAACUGACUAAUUACUUGACAAUAUGUUAUCAAACAACACAUUUUUAGAGUUACUUCUCCUUGAGUUCCACAGUUUUGGUAAUUUAAAUUGUUACGUUCUACUACAAACAACUUAUCCUUAAACAGCAUGACUGAAGACAAGUAUGUUUCCAAUAUUUAUUCAGUGAAGACUACCACACUUCAGUUUUGCCAUAGGGAACUCAUCCAUUGCAAGUCCCAUUCUACAGAUUCGUUUAUAAAGAAAGCCUGCUAAAAGACCAAAUCAAGCAUUAAUUUGAAGUACAGUAAUUUCACUUUAGUUCCCACUGUGGCUGCCAUUAUCCCACCACACAAAUACCCAUUCGGAAAAAUAAACAUUCAUGUGGAAAAUGAACUUAAAUCCUUACGUAUUUUUAAAUGCAAUUUGGACAAUCACAUCUUUUCCAGAGUGGUAGAGAACACUAAUUUCCACUCAGUGCAAGUAAAGAAAUGGGACUAUUUGUUAAAUGAUUGCUGACCUAGUAGGGCAGAGGGAAAGACACUGUUACUGGACCCCAUUCAAACCAGUCAAGGAACAGGCUAUGCAAUCCCACGGGACUGUGAGUUGAAAACUAAUUACUGCCUGGUUGAGGAAGGGUGAAGGGAAGUAUUUUGCAAGGAAGCCUCUAAGAAAGAGCUUAAAUGCAAAAGGUAAUGAAGAGGAACACAGAGAAACUACCAAUCAAAGAAGCUGCCUACUUUUGCAUACUUUCUAUUUUUAGAAGUCAGCAUUUAGUAUACUCAGGUGGGAGGGACCACAAGACUAUCUGAGCAGCACCAAGUCCUGUUACUGCUUUUCUGCUCUGGAAAGCUGACUAACAAAACACAUUAUAACAAAUUAUCCAGGCCAACACCAGUAACAGCAGGCUUGCUCACCUCUCAUAAGGUGAACUCCUACCACAAUGGUUCCCUAUUGAUACCAUGUUUCUGAAUUCAGGCUACCCUCCCCCACCACAAAAGGGCAGAAACAUCUGUUUGUAACAGAUUAGGAAACAAGAAUCCUGUUAGAGAUUACUAAAUACCCUUGAGAAUAUCAAUACUUUUUAAACAUAAUGUCAACUUCAUUUCUUAGCAUCUACAUUGCGCUUAAUGCUUAUAUAUAAACUAAAUAAAUCAUAAUGGACAAAGGCUAGAAAGAAGUCUGAAGAGUUACUGAAGAUCUCACACGUUACAAAUAGCAGGUGUGGGUGAAGCACCCAGUCCUGCACACAGGGGUGCAACUCUCCAGCCACAUGGCUCACUUAUGGCCUAUGAGUUCCCCAAGGAUAAACCAUGCAAGGAAAAUCCACGGAUAACAGAAGCAGACAUCAUCUUCCCCAGACAAGUCCCUACCCCUGUGACCUUGGCAGCGCUCAUUGCUCCGCUGGAUCCACAAGACUCAAACUGGAUCUGCAGCAUUCAAAUUAAUGCUUUCCUCAUUUUCUCAGUACAACUCCUUGAAGCAAGAACAUCCCCAUGUUUGUGAAUACCGAGUGCAUAUUUGAACAAUAUGCCCCUGAAAUAGCAUAAUUAUAAGAAAAGACAAUGUUUUCAAGACAUUUUGGACUCAACAUACAUAAAUGCACAGAAUCACAGAAUUCAUUUUGAGACUUCCCUAUGGCUAUUUGCUUAAUCAGUACAUUCACUGAAGAAGUCAUUAGUAAUAUUAUUUGCCUGAGAAAACACUGAACAUAGUUUGAUACUAAUUUUUGCAGCGUUUAUACUAUGACCAGGAAAAAUCCAAGAGAUACAAAUGACUGAUGUCUUUCUUAACCAGAGGGUAGCUUGCAGUACAGAUUAUAUAACUUCAAACAUCCUAUAAACUAAAAAAUAAGCUUCUGAUCCAAGUGCCACCAAUUAACCCAAACAGACAUUUAGAGUUUGACUCACUGUUAACAAACUGAACAUGGAGACCACAACUUUUCACAUUUAGACAUACAGCUUCGCAGCUUUCACACUGACUGACCAGACGUCCUCAGUGCGCACCUCCUGGCACACCACACACCACACCGCACAUCACCUUUCCUUCCCGUUCCAGAGCAUGCGAGAACAAAGCAGAAGGGAAGACCCAACUUCACACUGCCAGCUGAUCAAUACGGCCAGCAGCAUGGCAGGCAGUUGGGUGCUUGGUCUGAACAUCACUGACUGACAGAAGCUGGUUUUGGACAAGCGUUUCUACGCCUUUUUCUGCAAUGACAUAAGCCCUAUAUCUAUUCUCACAGUAUGCAGUAGUGCAAUACGUGCCUUAAACUAUCUAUGAAGCACAACAACCCAUUUCUAGUUGUCUUCCUCGAAGCAAGGAUUAGUUAGCUGCUCACUCAUAAGGUUUUACUGAUUUUCCAUCCCAUAAAGAUGAAAUCAGCUCCCAGGCACAGUCAGAUCUCAAUCUCUGUUUACGUUAAUCUUAGUCCUGUGCACUGAACUAGAAGCAAACUCCAUACAGACUUCACAACAGUGUACAGACCGUAGAGCUCUGAGCUCUUCUCGUGUCACAAGAACAGCUGAUACUGGAAAAAGCACCUCAACUACCAUUCAAUGGCUGAAGUUGCCUAUCACCAUAAUUGUAUGAAUUUAAGUUUUAAAAGUUCUGAGUAAUCUCUUUUCUGAAAACAAUAUAUAAAUUAAUUCCUUGGGUCCAAGCACAACCUAAAGGAACAAUAUCAAAAUUAAAUGUUACAGGACUGUUUUCAGCAAGUAGAAGGUAAUUUCUGAUGUUAACACAUCUUAUCUCUAGUACUUCAUGUUACUUCUUCAUACGCAUUUUCUACAUUUCUUUAUUGUUAUGCUUGAAGAAUCUCAUCAACAUUGAGAGAACUGACCUAACAUUCUAGUGUUUAUAUAAGUCCCAAAGUGAAGAAUGAAAUACUGUUACAAAACCCCACUAUUUUGUAGACUUCAGCAUAGCUUAAAACACACUUGAAAAGCUUUUGCAUAUAGUCUCUACAAAGAACAAAGUCGUUAGUGCCUCUGAACACAAUUUUGGAUAGAAUACUAAGCUAUGUUUAUGAAAGCCAUAGGUAAUUCCCUCCAGAAGAGGAACCAAGGAGUCCCAGCAAUCUGUGAGUAUUGAACUGUUACUGUGACCCAUUUCUCCACUUCUCACUGAAGCAGCAACAGAUACUUGCCUGGAGCUGGAGAGGCAGUUAGAACAAAAAUCCAAUUAAUUACAGGACUGAGGUGAAGGAAAGGGAAAUAUUCUCUGCGCACGUAUUUAAAACUAGAACCAAGACAAGAACUCAGGUUCAGAAUUCAAAAGAGGUCAAAGAAUCAAAGAUUCUUGUCCUUGUAUUUACUGUAAGGAACUUUUUCCCUUCUUUUUAAAAUCCAGUGCAGACUGCAUAUGGGCCCUCAGUGGAGAGCUUUACAUCUCAUUACUAAUACCCUGACACAGUCAUUCCCACAGCAUCCAUUAGUAUUGUUCAAGACUACAUUAGAAGAGAUUAGGCCCCCUAUGUUUCACAAUCGCGGCCACCACUAGAUUAGACUGCAAGCAAGAUUUCAUUUCUCCCACCAUUUUGUAUCGUAUGCUACCAACAGCUACAGCAAACACCGAAAACCUUCAUAAAACACAUCACUUCACAGCAUAGCUAUGAAAAUGUCAAGCAACCAAAAAUGAGCGGGAGCAGAAGGCGGCAGGAACUGUUGAUAACGGGGUGUAAUUCAGCAAUGCCAGCCAAGAUUCCCACACGUACAAAUCAAGAAUUAUUGAGCUAAUAAAAAAAUUGUUUUAGUUCUCUUCUGGCCAAGCAUGCCAAGAUAAACAUGGGCAUGGACACAGACAUGGGCAUGGAUACAGACCCUCAGAAGCUAGCAAGUAUGUUAAGUAAAACUUCUGUUUUACUUAACCUUUGUUAACACCCUUUGUUUUAAUGCACUACGCCCCUCAAAAUGAGAAACUGGACACCGCAACCGAAGGGGUGACUGAAGGAAACAAGACCUGAAACUUGAACACAGGAGUCCUCCAAUAUUCUCGUAUUUCUGAAAUAUUUAUCAUCUCUCCCUCAUCUUCUCCGUAACUAUUAAAGCUAUAACCAGUAUCCCAGGAAUUAAUAGCUGAAGUAGAAACUACACUGCCUAUAUACUGAAAGGAAAUGUUGACAAGUAAAUUCAUGUAAACUGUAUGCAUAAGAUUCAAGUCUUGGAAGACGUUAUGUGACAAAUUAAGAGCAAGACGACAAGCAAUAACUUUGACAGGAGACUAUUACCGGCUGCAAGAUCUUACUUUGACAAAAAAAAGUCUGAAAAUAAACCAGUGAAGAGUUACACCAAAAGAAAACUAUUUUGCAACACUCUUAAAUUAACAUAACUUUCAGCGUAAUUAGUUUGGCUGCUAUGGUAAACGCGUACACACGCUCUCAGGGCCAAGUUAAUGCCAAAGACCUGGAAGAAGCGUCAGGUGACUGCUAAAGGAAGAGGCAACGCUCAGUUUUACACCAGAGUGCACGCACACUAGUCCAAAAAUAAAGGAGGUAACGCCUCUAUAUUUUUGAAGUUUGGAGUGUUUGGAGUUUCUGUUGUGUUUUCAACUUCCUAAGACAGUGCACACGUGCAGGGGGCAUUAUUUUACUACAACCACAGAAGCCAGCCAUACUUCAAGAGAAAAUUUUGUCCUACAGGUAGAAACCCAGCAUGCCAGUUUUACACAAGAGGACAGUCUCCAAGAUUUAAGGCAAUGCAGUUUCUCCCAAUUCCUCACGCGGCAGAAAUCUAGCAUAAAUUACCGGUUUUAAGGACAAACAAUGCUUACCUUCAUUGUCAUGCUUUCUAUUAAUAAAAAUGCACUUAAACAAGGUAAAAGUACAUCCUACCCAUCCGUGCGACUAUGUGACACCACCAGUUUUAAAUGUAACACGGAAUAAACUACUUUGUUAAUUGCAUACACUUAUCACCGAUAUUUCUGUGUACACACGAGUUAAUAUGUAAUAAGAAAUCUCUGAUGUAUACUUAGAAAUCGGUGUGCAACUGAGCAAGCCCACACGGGCACUUCAGCUUCAACGCCCACCCAGCGGGCCCGGCGGCUGCCCCACAGCACGCAGCCCUGGCGGAGCAGCAGCAGCAGCAGCAGCAGCAGCCCUCCGGGGGCGGCGCAGCCCGCUCGGCAGCUCGGGGCAGCGGGACGCUCCCAGCCCCAAGGCCGCAGCGGGGC